CAGGCCUAACACAUGCAAGUCGAACGGGGUCUUCGGACCCAGUGGCGAACGGCGGAGUAAUACAUAAGCAACGUGCCCUAAAGACUGGGAUAAUCAAUGGAAACGAUGGGUAAUACCAGAUGUGGUCUUCUCUUGGCAUCUUGAGAAGAUUAAACGGUUUUUCGCUUUAGGAGCGGCUUAUGGCCUAUCAGGUAGUUGGUGGGGUAACAGCCUACCAAGCCGACGACGGGUAGCGAGUCUGAGAGGAUGAUCCGCUCGAGUGGGACUGAGACACGGCCCACACACCUACGGGUGGCAGCAGUUGGGAAUCUUGCACAAUGGGGGAAACCCUGAUGCAGCGACGCCGCGUGGAGGAUGAAGGGUCUAGGCCUGUAAACUCCUUUUGACGGGAAAGACUUAGGACGGUACCCGUUGAAUAAGGACCGGCUAACUACGUGCCAGCAGCCGCGGUAAGACGUAGGGUCCAAGCGUUGUCCGGAUUUACUGGGCGUAAAGAGCGCGUAGGCGGUCUGUUAAGUGUGAAGUGAAAUCUCCAGGGCUCAACCCGGAAACUGCUUCGCAUACUGGCAGACUGGAGGGAUGCAGAGGUUUGUGGAAUUCCUGGUGUAGCGGUGAUAUGCAUAGAUAUCAGGGGGAACACCCAUGGCGAAGGCAGCAAACUGGGCAUCAUCUGACGCUGAGGCGCGAAAGCGUGGGUAGCAAACAGGAUUAGAUACCCUGGUAGUCCACGCCCUAAACGAUGGAUACUAG
rnacentral:rRNA from 1 species